AACAACUGGAAAUGAAAGAGCAGGCCCCGAUGAUGAUUCAACAAAACUGCCAGCCCACUGGAGGUGGAUCGUGGUGUCUGUGGGUUUAGCAGCACUCAUCACAUCUGUUGUGGCGGUCAACAUCUGGAUAAGAACUAAAGAGAAGGAAACCCAGACGGAUGAACUCGCUGUGAGUUUUUAACAACAGUAUAAUGAAAUAUUUUUAUAGUUGGCACACGUGAUAAUAUAAUGCAGCUCGUUACAACAACACAAAGUACAGCAAAUGGA